rnacentral:rRNA from 1 species
AUGUGCUUGCGGGAUAGGGAUCUCUGGCUUAUGCGGUGCCCACUAAUAUGCAACUGGGCGGUUGAGUUUCAUUUGCCACAUCGUGUGUUUCGUCAGUUUGGUCUAUUCCAGCCUCACCAGCCGGAAUGGGUGGACACAGACAAAGCACUUCAUAGGUUGGAUAGGAGAAAGCAGCGGAAGAUAAAGGACUGGGACAAGCAUCAUGCAUCGUAUGGUACCCGGUUCAAUCUUUGUGUGGAGCAAGCUCGUAACAAUGCACGCGGCCAGCUUCGUGAGCAUAGCUCACUUGCUUUCGAUAACUACCUACAAUGGUUUCUUGAAAAUGUUCGAGUUGAGAUAUGCCCGCCGGCAUACAACGAUGAUAUUCUUGAAGAGCCUGUAAACUUUGAGGAUGUAUCGAAGUGGCAGUACAACAUAGAUGUCAGGGAAGGGCAAGGAGUCCCUGCUGUUCCGGUGAUUAACUAUGUGCGCAACCAGAUCAAGAAAGUAGCUGAUGAAAGCCAGUCUAUUCUGGAGAAGACACCGGUUGGAGAAGGCAAUGAUGAUGGUUCACUAUGA